rnacentral:rRNA from 1 species
AUGGAGGCGGGUACCGGCGCGGUUGCUUUUCUGCCCUGCGCUCCCUCCAUGUCUCCUCCUGCGCCUCCGGUGGCCAGACGCCUCUUCCACUCCGACCUAGGGGCACCCUCAUCGUUGGCGGAUUUUAUAUUUCUCAGGUCAGCCAGUGUGCAGCCACACCUGGUCAACAUCCAGUUUCAGAAGAAUGUACAGCUCGAGCUUGUUACUCUCUACAUGGAUUUCAAGUUGGAUGAGAGCUACACGCUGAGCAAGAUCUCCAUCUGGACUGGCGACGGCUUCCACAAUCUCAAGGAAAUUCCUCUUUUCGGAAGAUAG